rnacentral:rRNA from 1 species
GAUCAGAAUGCCACGGUGAAUACGUUCCCGGGCCUUGUACACACCGCCCGUCACACCAUGGGAGUGGGCUGCAAAAGAAGUAGGUAGUUUAACCUUCGGGGGGACGCUUACCACUUUGUGGUUCAUGACUGGGGUGAAGUCGUAACAAGGUAGCGCUAGGGGAACCUGGCGCUGGAUCACCUCCUUAUACGAUGAU